GCCUACGGGAGGCAGCAGUGGGGAAUAUUGCACAAUGGGCGAAAGCCUGAUGCAGCGACGCCGCGUGAAGGAUGAAGUAUUUCGGUAUGUAAACUUCUAUCAGCAGGGAAGAAAAUGACGGUACCUGACUAAGAAGCCCCGGCUAACUACGUGCCAGCAGCCGCGGUAAUACGUAGGGGGCAAGCGUUAUCCGGAUUUACUGGGUGUAAAGGGAGCGUAGACGGCGAUGCAAGCCAGAUGUGAAAGCCCGGGGCUCAACCCCGGGACUGCAUUUGGAACUGCGUGGCUGGAGGGUCGGAGAGGCA
rnacentral:rRNA from 1 species